UACGUAGGGUGCAAGCGUUAAUCGGAAUUACUGGGCGUAAAGCGUGCGCAGGCGGUUUUGUAAGUCUGUCGUGAAAUCCCCGGGCUCAACCUGGGAAUUGCGAUGGAGACUGCAAGGCUAGAAUCUGGCAGAGGGGGGUAGAAUUCCACGUGUAGCAGUGAAAUGCGUAGAGAUGUGGAGGAACACCGAUGGCGCAAGGCAGCCCCCUGGGUCAAGAUUGACGCUCAUGCACGAAAGGCGUGGGGAGCAAACGAGG
rnacentral:rRNA from 1 species